GUAGAGUACUCUAACCUGCAUCUCUUUG
rnacentral:piRNA from 1 species